UACACUCCUGCGGGAGGCAGCAGUGGGGAAUUUUGGACAAUGGGCGAAAGCCUGAUCCAGCAAUGCCGCGUGAGUGAAGAAGGCCUUCGGGUUGUAAAGCUCUUUUGUCAGGGAAGAAACGGUGAAAGCUAAUAUCUUUUGCUAAUGACGGUACCUGAAGAAUAAGCACCGGCUAACUACGUGCCAGCAGCCGCGGUAAUACGUAGGGUGCAAGCGUUAAUCGGAAUUACUGGGCGUAAAGCGUGCGCAGGCGGUUUUGUAAGUCUGAUGUGAAAUCCCCGGGCUCAACCUGGGAAUUGCAUUGGAGACUGCAAGGCUAGAAUCUGGCAGAGGGGGGUAGAAUUCCACGUGUAGCAGUGAAAUGCGUAGAUAUGUGGAGGAACACCGAUGGCGAAGGCAGCCCCCUGGGUCAAGAUUGACGCUCAUGCACGAAAGCGUGGGGAGCAAACAGGAUUAGAAACCCCAGUAGUCC
rnacentral:rRNA from 1 species